AGAGUUUGAUCAUGGCUCAGGACGAACGCUGGCGGCGUGCUUAACACAUGCAAGUCGAACGAGAAUCUGCGGAAAGAGGAUUCGUCCAAUUGAAGCAGAGGACAGUGGCGGACGGGUGAGUAACGCGUGAGGAACCUGCCUUUCAGAGGGGGACAACAGUUGGAAACGACUGCUAAUACCGCAUGACAUAUAGAUGUCGCAUGGCAUUUAUAUCAAAGAUUUAUCGCUGAAAGAUGGCCUCGCGUCUGAUUAGCUAGUUGGUGAGGUAACGGCCCACCAAGGCGACGAUCAGUAGCCGGACUGAGAGGUUGAACGGCCACAUUGGGACUGAGAUACGGCCCAGACUCCUACGGGAGGCAGCAGUGGGGAAUAUUGGGCAAUGGGCGCAAGCCUGACCCAGCAACGCCGCGUGAAGGAAGAAGGCUUUCGGGUUGUAACUUCUUUUGUCAGGGACGAGUAGAAGACGGUACCUGACGAAUAGCCACGGCUAACUACGUGCCAGCA
rnacentral:rRNA from 1 species